rnacentral:tRNA from 1 species
GCGGAUAUAGCUCAGUUGGUUAGAGCACUGGAUUGUGGUUCCAGGUGUCGUCGGUUCGAGUCCGAUUAUCCGUCCCA